CAGCCCAAGUGACAAGCGUGAAAGUCUAUCCAAAUAAACCUUCUCCUUCUUCUGUGUCUCAGUCUACACAAACAAUGUCAGCUCUACUAAACCUCCAAACCCCCAAGCUAUACUCCAUUUUCUCCCCCUCUCUUUCUUCACACAAGCUCCCUCAUCCUCAAUUCCCAUCUCUACCCCUAACCUUCACCAGAAAGGCUUCCAUAUGCCUCUCAACUUCCCGUCACUCCGGCCUCGUCCAAGACGAAGACGAAGAACCGAUUAUAGGCGAUUGUGUUGUUUUCGAAGAAGGCAUUUUCGACGACCCGUAUCUCCGCCCUAGCCCGAGAAGCGGCCGCGGUAUUACUGGGCAGCAGAAGAAGAAGAAGAUGAAGGAUUCGGAUGAAGUGGAGCCUGAGAAUCUAGUUCCGGAGAAGUGGAUUGAAGUCCAGAGGGAAGUUAAUAUUACAAAGAAGGAGAAGCGGCGGCUCGCGCUGGAAAUGGAGUUCGGGAGGCGCGUGGAGAGGAGGCGGCUUUUGCUCAGACCUAUUCCCGAUGGCAGCAGGGCCAGCGUAGAGGAGGACUACUCGAAAGUAGUUGAUCAAAAGCUGAAGCAGUUAAAGCCGAUCCUACUUGAUAACCCCGUGUUUCCUGAAGAGGAAGGGAAUAGUGCGAAGAGCGACGAGGAGUUAAGUGGAGGCGAAGAAGAGUUCUCUGUUUCGAAUAGCAGAGUGGCGCCGAAGAACCCGAGACGAGCUGUGUACGGCGGCGGUUUGGAUGAUAUAAGAAACUUCUUCAAUAGUGAGAAUUAUGAUCCUACUGAAACCAAGACAUCUGAAGGCCGUCGUAAGCUAUUCUCCAAGGAGGAAAAACUUCUGUUGAAUAACAAGUUCCCUGAUCUGGCAGUUGCUACCUCUGGAAAAUGGCAACCAUUCCAUACUUUUGCUGCCUCGGGAGAGUUCUACUUCAGCAGAUCUUUGUUAAAACACAUCGUUGAUGUCAAUCUUCCUGACAAUGAUGGUUUGACUGCAAUUCACAGAGCGAUCCUUGCGAAAAAGCACGCGAUUUUCAACUUUCUUUUGAGAGAAUCUGCAAAUCCCUUAAUUCGUGAUAAAGAUGGAGCAACAUUGAUGCAUUAUGCUGUUUGGACAGCCUCUAGCCCGAUGAUAAAGAUACUUCUCUUGUAUAAUGUUGAUAUAAACCUCCAGGACGAAUAUGGCUGGACACCUCUUCACCUUGCUGUUCAGUCCCGGAGAACAGAUGUAGUGAAACUUUUGUUGUUAAAAGGAGCUGACAAGACUUUAAGAAACCGGGAUGGUUUGACUCCAAUUGAUCUUUGCCUCCAUUCGGGAAGGAACAUCAGAACUUACGAACUUCUUAAAUUGCUGAAACAACUUCCUAACAAUAGUAAGAAAAUACUGGCAAGCUGAAUUGCUGCUGAUUGAAUUCGCUAGACAGAUAGCCAACUCGAAGCCACUGGGAUCAGCAUUGUUGUCCAGCUCUGAUCCCAAGUGCAAUUUUAUUCAGUUGGUCUUGUGAUGGUUAUACCAAGAAUGGGUGUACAAAUGACCAGAAAUGUGAACCAGAGAAUACAAAUAAUAGUUAGUUAUGCUAGGGAAAGAGGUUGGACUGUCUUGUUUCAUUGUCCACAUAAAUUACCCUUUAAGCUCCCAUCCAUGGCUCCUUAUGUCAACCAUGCAUGGCCGACCCUGAGCAUGUGCAAAGUGAGUGAUCGCAU